UGGGGAAUAUUGGACAAUGGGCGAAAGCCUGAUCCAGCCAUGCCGCGUGUGUGAAGAAGGUCUUCGGAUUGUAAAGCACUUUAAGUUGGGAGGAAGGGCAGUAACUUAAUACGUUGCUGUUUUGACGUUACCGACAGAAUAAGCACCGGCUAACUCUGUGCCAGCAGCCGCGGUAAUACAGAGGGUGCAAGCGUUAAUCGGAAUUACUGGGCGUAAAGCGCGCGUAGGUGGUUUGUUAAGUUGGAUGUGAAAGCCUCGGGCUCAACCUGGGAACUGCAUUCAAAACUGACAAGCUAGAGUAUGGUAGAGGGUGGUGGAAUUUCCUGUGUAGCGGUGAAAUGCGUAGAUAUAGGAAGGAACACCAGUGGCGAAGGCGACCACCUGGACUGAUACUGACACUGAGGUGCGAAAGCGUGGGGAGCAAACA
rnacentral:rRNA from 1 species